AUUGAACGCUGGCGGCAGGCCUAACACAUGCAAGUCGAACGGUAACAGGAAGAAGCUUGCUUCUUUGCUGACGAGUGGCGGACGGGUGAGUAAUGUCUGGGAAACUGCCUGAUGGAGGGGGAUAACUACUGGAAACGGUAGCUAAUACCGCAUAACGUCGCAAGCCCAAAGAGGGGGACCUUCGGGCCUCUUGCCAUCGGAUGUUCCCAGAUGGGAUUAGCUAGUAGGUGGGGUAACGGCUCACCUAGGCGACGAUCCCUAGCUGGUCUGAGAGGAUGACCAGCCACACUGGAACUGAGACACGGUCCAGACUCCUACGGGAGGCAGCAGUGGGGAAUAUUGCACAAUGGGCGCAAGCCUGAUGCAGCCAUGCCGCGUGUAUGAAGAAGGCCUUCGGGUUGUAAAGUACUUUUAGCGGGGAGGAAGGGAGUAAAGUUAAUACCUUGGCUCAUUGACGUUACCCGCAGAAGAAGCACCGGCUAACUCCGUG
rnacentral:rRNA from 1 species